UACGUAGGGUGCGAGCGUUGUCCGGAAUUAUUGGGCGUAAAGAGCUCGUAGGCGGCUUGUCGCGUCGGAUGUGAAAGCCCGGGCUUAACUCCGGGUCUGCAUUCGAUACGGGCAGGCUAGAGUUCGGUAGGGGAGACUGGAAUUCCUGGUGUAGCGGUGAAAUGCGCAGAUAUCAGGAGGAACACCGGUGGCGAAGGCGGGUCUCUGGGCCGAUACUGACGCUGAGGAGCGAAAGCGUGGGGAGCGAACAGG
rnacentral:rRNA from 1 species